AUUGAACGCUGGCGGCAUGCCUUACACAUGCAAGUCGAACGGUAACGGGCCUUCGGGCGCCGACGAGUGGCGAACGGGUGAGUAAUGCAUCGGAACGUACCUUUCAGUGGGGGAUAACGUAGCGAAAGUUACGCUAAUACCGCAUAUUCUGUGAGCAGGAAAGCAGGGGAUCGCAAGACCUUGCGCUGAUUGAGCGGCCGAUGUCAGAUUAGCUAGUUGGUGAGGUAAAGGCUCACCAAGCCUGCGAUCUGUAGCUGGUCUGAGAGGACGACCAGCCACACUGGGACUGAGACACGGCCCAGACUCCUACGGGAGGCAGCAGUGGGGAAUUUUGGACAAUGGGCGCAAGCCUGAUCCAGCCAUGCCGCGUGCGGGAAGAAGGCCUUCGGGUUGUAAACCGCUUUUGUCAGGGAGAAAGUCCGGGUUAAUACCCUGGGACUGCUGACGGUACCUGAAGAAUAAGCACCGGCUAACUACGUGCCAGCAGCCGAC
rnacentral:rRNA from 1 species